UGCUAAACCGCUUUGUGAGGUCUCCUGGAGUUUGUGCAAUCCACUACUGCCUGCCUGGAAGAGUAUCUGCUAAAAUAAGAGUUUUAUGUGUUCCAUUGCCUUUUGCUACGUAACAAACAAUUCUGUGGACAGAUUGCAUUUUCUAAAGAUGAUCGUGACAAAUAACUCCCAUCUCACAUGCCCUUCUAGAAACUUGCCAUUCCCCUAUCAGGUUUCAACUCAGAGGGAAGAACCAAGAGCUACAGAGAACAACUCACAGAGAGUAAACUGAGCACCAAUGGAAGAAUUGGCAACAUGUUCUCAGCUGGAUUUCAGAAUGGCUAGGGGCCAGUGACUGUCGUGUGCCUCCCAUAUUCCCCAUUUUUGAACAGGAAUAUCUUUCACAGAUCUUCAGAUUGAGAAGAAAGAUACUCAAGGAGCUAUACCCAAGGGAUUAUACCUAAGGAAAUUCAUCUGCACCUGGACCUGAUAUAAAUGAUACAAUCUUAGACUUUGAGCCUGAGCAUGAUGCUGUAAUGGAAUGAGACUUUGGGUGGGGGUGGGCUUUAAAGGAGGGAUGACCAUAUUUUACACGUGGGAGGAAUGUGAACCAUUGUGGCUAGAAGGCAGAUUUUCCAAAGGUGGUUACAAUGUUUCCCAUUCCACCUGUUCUUCUAGAAUCUUUCCACUCUCCUUUUGAGAGGUGGACUCCAUGUUCUCCUUGAACUUGGUGGGUCUUUGUGAUUGCCUUGACCAGUAGUGUACAGCAAGAGUGAUGCUAUGUAGCUUCCAAGACUAGGUCAAAAACAUGCCAUACAAUUGAACUUUGCUAUGUUGGGAUGCUCACUCUUGGAACCCAGCCCAAUUAGCCAUUGUAAAGGCCCACAUGGAGAGAACUGAGACCCUGUGAACCAUAGCCCUGCCUGAGAUCUUAGCUGACAGCCAAUACCAACUUGCCUGCCACGUGAGUGAGAAAAAUUAAUGGUUAAUGUUUUUUUUUAAAUAAAUUUAUUUAUUUAUUUUUGGCUGCAUUGGGUCUUCUUUGC